UACAGAUCAGUGCAGUAUACUAGGUUCUCUGAAUUCAGUAAAAGUAUAGUAACAAUAUAGUAAAUUUGGUCGGGUUAAGCUAUAUACAUAUGUUAAGUGUGUUGGCUUCGUUUCCAACACAAGAAGAAAAUUCUCCACUAUGGUGAAAAGUAUCAACUUUGGUACCACUAGAAAAUCAAUCAAUACAUUAAACAAUCAGAUGUCGGUAUUCCAAAUCACAUGAGUUCGAAGGACUACAGAACUCCCUAAAAGAAAACUUUCCAAGUAGUUUACGAAUAAAUUUAUUUCAAAUGCGUGUUUUUGGAACUGAUGUUUCUUGUAUUUUAAAUAAUGAAAUACACUAUUUCUUUAUGCUAUAUAAAA